AGAGUUUGAUCAUGGCUCAGGAUGAACGCUAGCGGCAGGCCUAAUACAUGCAAGUCGGACGGGAUCCAUCGGAGAGCUUGCUCGAAGAUGGUGAGAGUGGCGCACGGGUGCGUAACGCGUGAGCAACCUACCUCUAUCAGGGGGAUAGCCUCUCGAAAGAGAGAUUAACACCGCAUAACAUAUCUGACCGGCAUCGGUUAGCUAUUAAAUAUUUAUAGGAUAGAGAUGGGCUCGCGUGACAUAGCUAGUUGGUAGGGUAACGGCUUACCAAGGCGACGAUGUCUAGGGGCUCUGAGAGGAGAAUCCCCCACACUGGUACUGAGACACGGACCAGACUCCUACGGGAGGCAGCAGUAAGGAAUAUUGGUCAAUGGGCGGAAGCCUGAACCAGCCAUGCCGCGUGCAGGAUGACUGCCCUAUGGGUUGUAAACUGCUUUUGUCCAGGAAUAAACCUUUCUACGUGUAGGGAGCUGAAUGUACUGGAAGAAUAAGGAUCGGCUAACUCCGUGCCAGCCGCCGCGGUAAUAC
rnacentral:rRNA from 1 species